rnacentral:misc_RNA from 1 species
UCCGACUUAACGUCGGCAGUCUCGUUAGAGUGCCCUUGCGUAGCAACUAAGGACAAGGGUUGCGCUCGUUGCGGGACUUAACCCAACAUCUCACGACACGAGCUGACGACAGCCAUGCAGCACCUGUGUUCCAGUUCCCUUUCGGGCACACCCGCCUUUCAGCAGGCUUCCGGACAUGUCAAGGGUAGGUAAGGUUGUUCGCGUUGCAUCGAAUUAAUCCACAUCAUCCACCGCUUGUGCGGGUCCCCGUCAAUUCCUUUGAGUUUUAAUCUUGCGACCGUACUCCCCAGGCGGUCUACUUCUCGCGUUAGCUGCGUUACUAAGGGAUUUAACUCCCCCAACAACUAGUAGACAUAGUUUAGGGCGUGGACUAC